ACCGUCGAUCCGCCGCCGCCGAACCGUUCCGUGGCUGCAUGCUGCUGCCGUUGCUCUUGCGGCCGCGAGGUCGUGCCAGGAGGGAGGGAGGCAAGGGCCCGCCGCCGUCGGAGGUCGGGGCCGUGGGGCGCGGAUGCGUGGCCGUGCGGUCGAGCGGGGCGAGGCGGGGGCUAGGCGACUGCGGGGGCUGGCGGCGUGGUCGAGCAGUCGAGCGGGCGGGGUGGCCGCCUGGGUGCGCGCGGGUUGGGGGGAGUCAGGCGGCUGAGGUGGGGAUGACUCGGGGUAGGGUUUGUAGUUGGGCCGGAUUGGGCCUUGGAUAGACUAGUUGGGCUAAAUUUGUGUGGGCUCGGUUCUUCGGUUAACCGAACUUAAGAACCGAAGAACCGAGUAAAAUUCGGUUCCUCAGAACCAAGAACCGAAGCAGAACCGAAUUUCCUCGGUUCCGGUUCUUUCGGUUCCGGUUCUCGGUAUUUACGGUUCGGUUCUCGGUUCUCGGUUAUAUUUGCCCACCCCGACCAAUCCGAAUGCCUGAGCACUCAGCAAGCAUUUUCGUUACACCGAUCCCCUAUGAUAUCAGUUCUUAGCUACCUCGGGAUAGCCAUAAGAUAUGGAUCCAACUCGGUUCUCUGACCCUGAAGCCCUAGUUUGAGUCGUUGAGACUUUCUGAGUGGUUCCGACGUCCGGGUCGCCCUGGCUGGGUCACGGAGACACGCCGGGUCGUAAGUGGCGUCUAGCCCCCGACUCAGCAGCAGUUGGGGAUGCUGCGCUCCGCGGGGCUGCUCAGCCCCAUCGCCUACCUCGACAAGAUCUCCUCGCUCGCGCGGGUGGCCGCCGACGUCUUCCUCGGCGAGGCUCUGUACUGGUUGGGGACUGAACGAGUUUGACCCGACAGGGGAAACUGUUCACAAACUAGUAACUGACGUAUGCUCGCAGCCGGGGAUCAAUUGCUACAAUCUGAUGUCAGUAUUCACAGGUGACAAUUGCUGCGUGGACAACUCAUCUGUCCAGAUCUUCUUCCUUGCCCACGAGCCACAAGCUUCUGCAACCAAGAACAUGGUGCAUUUGGCUUAAAUGAUCCGUCGGGGGACGAUCGCCAAGUACCACUACGGCAACGCAGCGGACAACACGAAGCACUACGGGCAGGCGACGCCGCCGGCCUACGACGUGUCGGCGAUCCCCGACGACUUCCCGCUCUUCCUCAGCUACGGCGGCAGGGACAGCCUCUCGGACGUGCAGGACGUGAGACACCUGGUCCAGGCACUCAAGUCGCACGACGGCGACAAGCUCACGGUUCAGUACCGACUACGCGCACGCCGACUUCGUCAUGGCCAUCAACGCCCGGGAUAGGGUGUACGCGCCUCUAAUGGCUUUCUUCAAGCUCCAGGAGAAAUGACGCGCCGGUGACUGUCACUAUGGUAGGCGGUAGCAAUGUAAAUGAUGUGCAGUUAUAGAAGUCGGACACUGCUAGAAAACUUAGCAUUAGCAUCGGACACGGAUCGGAUCAGUACAGAUUAUCGUUGUAUAGUGUUAUUAUUCCCUAGUCAAGUUUCAACCCAAUGGAAUUCCUCCGGUUAUGUUCCAUCUCAAAGCAAUAUCUAGUUUUUAAUGCUGUAUUCUCAAUUAA